CUCUAGCCCUGAUAGAAGCGGCAUCCUUUUAAGAUGGUCACGAAGUCUCGAGACAAUAUAAAAAGAUAAAGCGGAAAGCAGGAUUAGCU
rnacentral:sRNA from 1 species